GGAAUAUUGGUCAAUGGACGCAAGUCUGAACCAGCCAUGCCGCGUGAAGGAUGAAGGUCCUCUGGAUUGUAAACUUCUUUUAUCUGGGACGAAAACGGGAUUUUUAUCUCAAUUGACGGUACCAGAGGAAUAAGCACCGGCUAACUCCGUGCCAGCAGCCGCGGUAAUACGGAGGGUGCGAGCGUUAUCCGGAUUUACUGGGUUUAAAGGGUGCGUAGGUGGGCUUAUAAGUCAGUGGUGAAAUCUCCGAGCUUAACUUGGAAACUGCCGGUGAUACUAUAGGUCGUGAUUUAGCUGGAGGGAAGCGGAAUAUGUCAUGUAGCGGUGAAAUGCUGAGAUAGGACAUAGAACACCAAUUGCGAAGGCAGCUUACUA
rnacentral:rRNA from 1 species